rnacentral:tRNA from 1 species
GCUGUGGCUCAGUGGCAGAGCAUUGGCUUGGCAUGCAGAAGGUCCUAGGUUCAAUCCCCAGCAUCUCCA